GCUGGGCGAGGUGGCGCACGCCUGUAAUCCCCGCCACUCGGGAGGCUGAGGCAGGAGAAUCGAAAGUUGAAGGCCAGCCUCAC
rnacentral:sRNA from 1 species